AGUGCCUAUUAUUAUUAACAUUGAAACACAACCAGUAUUUAUAAGGGCUGCAUCAGUUUUUUUGUUGAACUAUUCUCUUAGACAAGGUGAUUUUAUGAAGAGGAUUAGGUGUAGCUUCUAGGUUGGGGUUCAGUAGUUUCUUAUGCUAUAUACGCAUGUUUCUAUCUUUACUAUCCACUUAGGUGUGUGUUAUUGAACGCUCCUUUGCUUCUGGGUUGGGGUUCAAUAGUUUGUUAUGCUAUAUAUGCAUUUUCCUAUCUUUACUGUCCAGUUAGGUGUGUUUUAUUGAAUUUUCUUUUGAUCAUAUCAUUGUUUAGCAGGCUUACUGACUAGCAUCCCUUUACAGUGGCUGCUUUUGAAAAACAGAGUUUGUGCAACUGUAAUAGUGCAACAGAAAUUACAGCUGCACACCCCUAGUGGUCAUUUUUCAAACUGCCUCUCCAGAAAUGCAGCCUUUUAGGAGUCCUAAUGAAGCAGACCCAGUGGUUGAAAACAGAGAUGUUUAACGCUUUGCUGAAACAGUUAGAAAGCCUGGAUCUCUAUGAAUAUUUAGCUUUCAAUUACAUUACAAAGAAAAUGCAUUGUAGGUCAGCGCAGGAUCCAGCAUUUAAAUUGUAACAAAGUCAUGAAGAAGCUCAAGGCUGAAGUGAAUGCUGCAGAAUAAUGCAGCUGAUGGAAUUGUGUGGAAUGUACUGGUUGAAAACAUUACUGUGACUCACAGGUAACCCUUUCAUGCAUGCAAUAUUGAAAAUAGCUGGACACAUAAUAAAUAUAUGUUUCAAUGUAAAUGUUGUCAAUGGCUUUAUAUUGAGAAGAAUUGCCUCCUCAUAUGAGGUCAUCAUGCAUUUGCGUCUUCCAUGUAAAGACUAGAAUAGUAUUUGUAUCUGUCCCAAUUUGAGGUCACCCUGCAUGAAAGGGUUAAAAAGGCUUAGGGAUGCAAGUGCACUUUGCAAGAUGCAAAGUGUUAGCUCCAUGUAUGGGAAAUCCCAUUUUUUGGUGUCUCUGCAGCACUGUGUAUGAUUGUCUGUAAAUAACCUGUUCAUGAAGGACAAUACAUACACGAGAUUAAAAUAACUGGGUGAGAAAAAGCAUGGCAGGACCAUUGCAGCUUCCUGGAGGGAGGCAACUGUAACUCGGGAUUCAAUUAGGCACUGGGUUUCAAUUAGGGUUAGGGUACUUGAAAUGCAUAAUCUGUUUACAGUGUAAAAUUGCUUAUUUUUCGUCAUUUCCAAUAUGCAACAAGUAAACUGGAUAUCGAUUAAAUACCAGCUGAUAGUCGCACAACAGCAAGCAGUAUUGAAAAAAACCUCCCAUGCCUGCUUCAUGCAGGAAUAAGAUCAUUCAAACUGCAGGAGAUGAGUCAGUCUGUGCGAUCUCCAGGGACUGCAGAGGAGAGUGUGUGGGCUCUUAAUCAGACAUGAUGUCAUUGAAGUUUGUAUACUUGGACAUUGUCAUAUCUUUGCUUUGCCAGCUGUUAAAACACUCAUCUGGUCCUCCUGUGGGCAGGCCAUAGCCAUUGGUGCAUAAGCCUUUUGAUGUCAGAUGCGGUGUCACCAUUCUAUACAAGCUGAUUAUUCCUCCUCUCCUGAUUCGCUGAGGACCACUCAAUGACACUGCUGGUGAAUGUUCUGGAACCCCUCAGCACCUCUUAUCUAAUCCAUUGUCUCCGCCUAGCUGCAUGAUGCUCAUGAAACAGGGAUACCAAACUGGGUAGCUAGCAGCUUUGUGCAGCUUAGUGUUUGGUAGGCAAUGCUGCAACAUUGUCUGGAACAGUUCAACUGAACCAAACUGAGCAGGGCUUGCAUGGAUGGAAACGAGACUCCCAUUUCAAAACAUUUAGAGCCAAUGUUCCGGGUUGUGAGCUAAAACAGACACACCAUUGCUUUUUAGAUAGAAAUGGUUGCUAUUAAACUCAAGUGCAGGGCAAGUCAUGCAAUCAGGGGUCCGCUGGUUUGAAUUCUGGCCAAGCUGAGUAGCCAAUCUUUGCUAGGGGCUCAUUACACGUGCUGCAUUAGCCUUUGAGCCCCUGUGAAUUAGGGAGAAAGAUUAAAACCAUAUUACCAUUUCAUUUUUGUCUCAUGAGAUGAAAUUCUGAUGCUUUAGGUUAUGAAAAAUAUAUAGAGAAUUAAUUUACUUUACAAAUCCAAGAAGACUUGAGGUCUGAAUGAGUUUAAAAGUCACCUUUUCCUUUCAGAAUGAGAGCUCUUUAUGCCCAGAGACCCAGACAGAUAAGAAAAGCCUGGCAUGUUAAUGCAGCCUCAUUAAUGAAACACUAACCAUGCAUUUCAAACCAAUCCAUCAGCACACUAUAGCACAUGCUUCACAUUUCUCUUCCAACAGUUGUGGUACUCUGUCUGCCAAAGUUGUGGCUUUUGUUUUUCAAGGAGAUUUUAACCAGUUCUAAAAGGCGACCUUUUCCUCCUUUCCAGUGCUUUUCCCAAAUGUAGCUGAGCUGGCCAGUCUGGGCAAGGUGUAGCUAAAGAUGGUUGUCUGCAUUCCAGUGUCAUUUUACCCGUGUUCUUUCAAUUAAUAGCCAAGGCAAUGUGAUAUAAACCGAGGGAGCAACCAGAGAACUGCAACACAAACUUACAACGGAUGAGGAUGGGAAAAAAUAAUCAUGGAGGCACAAAUGACACCAGACUGGAGUAAAAUAUAAGUUGACAACUACAGGUCAACCAAAAAUAGAUUUCCACUAAACCGGGGUCCUGGAGGAACUGGGCACAGCAGCAGCUGAGCCGCCCCGCUGCAGAAGGACGAGCGCUCUGUAGAGGAGAGGCAUGGGGCCACUACAGAGAGAGGGCAUCGCAAGGGCUUUCACUUUCAACUUUCCUGCAAGACUUACUGUCCUAAAGCCCUUGGAAAAAUGUACCACAAGCAGGUUGUCUGCUGCACUUCACACUGGAGCGUGGUUCUGUUCCACUCUGGCAUCCAGUGAGUAGUGCUGAGACUGCAAGCAAGUUGUCUUCCAGGCUGCUGUCCAGGGUGCUGAAAUUGUCAAUCCUGUGUGGGAUCCCAACAUGAUCUCCCAGGAGGUGAGAUCAAGAGCGAUCCUCUGGAGCCCUGAAGCUGAACUUCAUUUACUGCACCUGACUAAAGGGCUGUUCUACUUGUAAUGACUUGCUAAAACAAACCCUGCUGAAAUUGAUUUAAAUCUCCCCUAUUUUUGUGGCACAACCUUUCUUUGUGGGGCACAUACCCCUCUACUGUUACAUGUGCACAUACUAGUUUGUUUUCUCUUGACUUUGUAUCUGAGACAGAUUAGAGUAAAAUACACACAGACUAAUGACACACAGUAUUGAUCUUUCCAUCCCCAUGAUGUCAUGUUUAAAAGUGAUUACUUACAUGGCUAGGAUUCUGUCUACUAUUAAAAACAGCAACCUUGGUCUAGUGGUGCUGUAACAUCCUGAGAGCUGUAAUGAUGAGGCCAUGUAAGUGUUUUAGAAUAUUAAAACUGUUAAAACCAAGACUGGUUACAUUACACUAUAACUUGGACUUUGCACACUGUAAAAUGGUUUGCUCUACAAAGUGCUGCUUUAGAAAAUAAUUCAAGUUAAAUAAAACAAAUACAUGUCUUUUAAAUUGCCUGAAAUAUCCACGGUCUUGGGUGGGUUUGAGUGGUUAAAGCAAGUUAUCUUGAGACAACCACAACCACAACUUUGAGGAUGUGGUAAACUGGGCUUCAUUACUGAACACCAUACUGAUUCACCAGCAGUGCCCGGGUAGGUUUUACACAGCAGAAAACAUAUAAAAAUGACUCCCAAGCAAGCAGUGGUUCCUAUGAGAACUGAUAUAACUGUUUUGGGGGUCCCCCAAGUGGCUCACCUGGUGAGUCAUACA